AAUCAAGGCUGCCACCAAGGAGAGAGAGCUCCUGUUCCCUCUGGGCAGAAAAUCCAAAAAUUUGGGAUUAUUUGGGGUGAGAAUUGGGGCUGCCACCAAGGAGAGAGAGCUCCUGUUCCCCCUGGGCAGGCACCCCAGAAAUUUGGGAUUAUUUGGGGUGAGAAUUGAGGCUGCCCUGCCACCAAGGAGAGCUCCUGUUCCCCCUGGGCAGGCACCCCAGAAAUUUGGGAUUAUUUGGGGUGAGAAUUGGGGCUGCCACCAAGGAGAGAGAGCUCCUGUUCCCCCUGGGCAGGCACCCCAGAAAUUUGGGAUUAUGGGGUGAAAAUCGAGGCUGCCACCAAGGAGAGAGAGCUCCUGUUCCCCCUGGGCAGAAAACCCAGAAAUUUGGGAUUAUUUGGGGUGAGAAUUGAGGCUGCCACCAAGGAGAGAGAGCUCCUGUUCCCCUUGGGCAGGCAACCCAAAGAUUUGGGAUUUGGGGAAGAAUUAAGGCUGACCUGCCACCAAGGAGAGCUCCUGUUCCCUCUGGGCAGAAAACCCAGAGAUUUGGGAUUAUGGGGUGAGAAUUGAGGCUGCCCUGCCACCAAGGAGAGCUCCUGUUCCCCCUGGGCAGGCACCCCAGAAAUUUGGGAUUAUUUGGGGUGAGAAUUGAGGCUGCCACCAAGGAGAGCUCCUGUUCCCUCUGGGCAGAAAACCCAAAAAUUUGGGAUUAUUUGGGGUGAGAAUCGAGGCUGCCCUGCCACCAAGGAGAGCUCCUGUUCCUCCUGGGCAGGCACCCCAGAAAUUUGGGAUUAUGGGGAAAAUCGAGGCUGCCACCAAGGGAGAGCUCCUGUUACCUCUGGGCAGAAAACCCAGAAAUUUGGGAUUAUUUGGGGUGAGAACUGAGGCUGCCACCAAGGAAAGAGCUCCUGUUCCCCCUGGGCAGGCUGGCACUGCCAGUGGGAAAGGGAUGGGAACCCACCCAAACCCAGCCCCUCGUGGAUUUUCAUCCGUGUCUCCUUCCCCUCGAGUUCCAUCUCAGUAUUUCAAAUUAUAACUCAGGUGUUGUAGGAGAGAAACAAAGAGCGUUAACUUAAAUGUCACGUGAAUUGUACAGAUAUUUGUAAAAUUCCAUAAAUAAAAUAUAUUCUGUAAUGAC